rnacentral:rRNA from 1 species
AGAGUUUGAUCCUGGCUCAGGAUGAACGCUAGCGGCAGGCCUAACACAUGCAAGUCGAGGGGUAGGGUUAGCUUGCUAACGUGAGACCGGCGCACGGGUGCGUAACGCGUAUGCAAUCUACCUUGUACAGAGGGAUAGCCCAGAGAAAUUUGGAUUAAUACCUCAUAGUAUUAUCGAAUGGCAUCAUUUGAUUAUUAAAGUUCCAACGGUACAAGAUGAGCAUGCGUCCCAUUAGUUAGUUGGUAAGGUAACGGCUUACCAAGACGAUGAUGGGUAGGGGUCCUGAGAGGGAGAUCCCCCACACUGGUACUGAGACACGGACCAGACUCCUACGGGAGGCAGCAGUGAGGAAUAUUGGACAAUGGGCGCAAGCCUGAUCCAGCCAUGCCGCGUGCAGGAUGAAGCAUCUAUGGUGUGUAAACUGCUUUUAUACAGGAAGAAACCCUACCACGUGUGGUAGAUUGACGGUACUGUAGGAAUAAGGAUCGGCUAACUCCGUGCCAGCAGCCGCGGUAAUACGGAGGAUCCAAGCGUUAUCCGGAAUCAUUGGGUUUAAAGGGUCCGUAGGCGGUUUUGUAAGUCAGUGGUGAAAUCUGGUCGCUUAACGAUCAAACGGCCAUUGAUACUGCAAGACUUGAAUUAUUGGGAAGUAACUAGAAUAUGUAGUGUAGCGGUGAAAUGCUUAGAUAUUACAUGGAAUACCAAUUGCGAAGGCAGGUUACUAUCAAUAUAUUGACGCUGAUGGACGAAAGCGUGGGGAGCGAACAGGAUUAGAUACCCUGGUAGUCCACGCCGUAAACGAUGGAUACUAGCUGUUGGGCGCAAGCUCAGUGGCUAAGCGAAAGUGAUAAGUAUCCCACCUGGGGAGUACGAACGCAAGUUUGAAACUCAAAUGAAUUGAC